rnacentral:rRNA from 1 species
AACGAACGCUGGCGGCAUGCCUAACACAUGCAAGUCGAACGAUGCCUUCGGGCAUAGUGGCGCACGGGUGCGUAACGCGUGGGAAUCUGCCUUUCGGUUCGGAAUAACUCAGGGAAACUUGAGCUAAUACCGGAUAACGUCGCAAGACCAAAGAUUUAUCACCGAAAGAUGAGCCCGCGUAGGAUUAGCUAGUUGGUGAGGUAAAGGCUCACCAAGGCGACGAUCCUUAGCUGGUCUGAGAGGAUGAUCAGCCACACUGGGACUGAGACACGGCCCAGACUCCUACGGGAGGCAGCAGUGGGGAAUAUUGGACAAUGGGCGAAAGCCUGAUCCAGCAAUGCCGCGUGAGUGAUGAAGGCCUUAGGGCUGUAAAGCUCUUUUACCCGGGAAGAUAAUGACGGUACCGGGAGAAUAAGCCCCGGCUAACUCCGUG